CAUAAAACUGAGGGCCUGCCACGCAGGCUAAUGGAUGUUUUGCAGAAAGACCCAAAGAAGGUUAGAAAUUUGUGGCCCAGAUAAGCAUUUAUAUAUAACAGCUGUUUACACCUAAAGAAUAGAACCAAAUGUUCGUCCCAGCACCCCUCAAAUGAAAAUUUAUUUCACCAAAACUGCACUGUCCACACUUGUAAACAUAUUUAAUUAAUUAGCUAUUAUUUAUGAAAAAUUGUAAAGACUGUAAGGUAGAGUUACAGUAAUGACUGAUAUUGUUUGCCUUGUGUUUAAAUUUGUGGCAUUUGAGAACUGUAAAUACUGUGUAUAUAUUGAGAUAAACAAUUAUAGAAUAAAUACAUUACAAAAUCAAAUAUUAAAACUACUUCAAAAUAUGAAAAGUAUUUCGAUG